rnacentral:rRNA from 1 species
ACGUAGGGAGCAAGCGUUGUUCGGAUUUACUGGGCGUAAAGGGCGCGUAGGCGGCUUGACAAGUCAAAGGUGAAAUCCCUCGGCUCAACUGAGGAACUGCCUUUGAAACUGUCUGGCUUGAGGCCGGGAGGGGGUAGCGGAAUUCCCAGUGUAGCGGUGAAAUGCGUAGAUAUUGGGAGGAACACCAGUGGCGAAGGCGGCUACCUGGACCGGUUCUGACGCUGAUGCGCGAAAGCGUGGGGAGCAAACAGGA